rnacentral:lncRNA from 1 species
GGAAUGUUCUGAACCUUUGGUUCAUUCUCUAUGUUUGAUUGGGAUUGUUAUAAUCUGCCUGGAAUUGUGUUGCUGAACUAAAUUUCAUUGAAUUGAUGAUCCUGGGAAUGAUUCCUAUUUAUAUAUUGAUUGUGAUGUGCUCUGAAGGAAUUUGAUGAAUCUGGUUGCUGGAAUAAAUUGGGGGGUGAUACUGAUUUGAUGGGAAAAAUGGGCUAAGUGUAGCCUCAGGUUCUGUGAGAGGGGAUGUAUAACUUUGGGAAUUAGGGAACUAAAAAUAAUAGGAUAGUUUAUUAAAUCAAAUAAAAAUACUUGGGACUUGUUAGGAACCUUCUCUGUUGGUAGGAUAGAGAGAAC